AACGAACGCUGGCGGCAUGCCUAACACAUGCAAGUCGAACGAAGUCUUCGGACUUAGUGGCGCACGGGUGCGUAACGCGUGGGAAUCUGCCCUUGGGUACGGAAUAACUCAGAGAAAUUUGUGCUAAUACCGUAUAAUGUCUUCGGACCAAAGAUUUAUCGCCCAAGGAUGAGCCCGCGUAAGAUUAGCUAGUUGGUGGGGUAAAAGCCUACCAAGGCGACGAUCUUUAGCUGGUCUGAGAGGAUGAUCAGCCACACUGGGACUGAGACACGGCCCAGACUCCUACGGGAGGCAGCAGUGGGGAAUAUUGGACAAUGGGCAAAAGCCUGAUCCAGCAAUGCCGCGUGAGUGAUGAAGGCCCUAGGGUUGUAAAGCUCUUUUACCAGGGAUGAUAAUGACAGUACCUGGAGAAUAAGCUCCGGCUAACUCCGUG
rnacentral:rRNA from 1 species